rnacentral:rRNA from 1 species
CCUACGGGUGGCAGCAGUGAGGAAUAUUGGUCAAUGGGCGAGAGCCUGAACCAGCCAAGUAGCGUGAAGGAUGAAUGCCCUACGGGUUGUAAACUUCAUUUAUAAAGGAAUAAAGUGAGGCACGUGUGCCAUUUUGUAUGUACCUUAUGAAUAAGGAUGGGCUAACUCCGUGCCAGCAGCCGCGGUAAUACGGAGGAUCCGAGCGUUAUCCGGAUUUAUUGGGUUUAAAGGGAGCGUAGAUGGGUUGUUAAGUCAGGUGUGAAAGUUUGCGGCUCAACCGUAAAAUUGCCAUUGAUACUGGCAGUCUUGAGUACAGUUGAGGUAGGCGGAAUUCGUGGUGUAGCGGUGAAAUGCUUAGAUAUCACGAAGAACUCCGAUUGCGAAGGCAGCUUACUAAACUGCCACUGACAUUGAUGCUCGAAAGUGUGGGUAUCAAACAGGAUUAGCUACCCUUGUAGUC